GACGAACGCUGGCGGCGUGCUUAACACAUGCAAGUCGAACGGAAAGGCCCUGCUUUUGUGGGGUGCUCGAGUGGCGAACGGGUGAGUAACACGUGAGUAACCUGCCCUUGACUUUGGGAUAACUUCAGGAAACUGGGGCUAAUACCGGAUAGGAGCUCCUGCUGCAUGGUGGGGGUUGGAAAGUUUCGGCGGUUGGGGAUGGACUCGCGGCUUAUCAGCUUGUUGGUGGGGUAGUGGCUUACCAAGGCUUUGACGGGUAGCCGGCCUGAGAGGGUGACCGGCCACAUUGGGACUGAGAUACGGCCCAGACUCCUACGGGAGGCAGCAGUGGGGAAUAUUGCAAAAUGGGCGGAAGCCUGAUGCAGCAACGCCGCGUGCGGGAUGAAGGCCUUCGGGUUGUAAACCGAUUUCGCCUGUGACGAAGCGUGAGUGACGGUAAUGGGUAAAGAAGCACCGGCUAACUACGUG
rnacentral:rRNA from 1 species